rnacentral:rRNA from 1 species
AACGAACGCUGGCGGCAGGCUUAACACAUGCAAAUCGAGCGCCCCGCAAGGGGAGCGGCAGACGGGUGAGUAACGCGUGGGAAUCUACCCAUCCCUACGGAAUAGCUCCGGGAAACUGGAAUUAAUACCGUAUACGCCCUACGGGGGAAAGAUUUAUCGGGGAUGGAUGAGCCCGCGUUGGAUUAGCUAGUUGGUGGGGUAAAGGCCUACCAAGGCGACGAUCCAUAGCCGGUCUGAGAGGAUGAUCAGCCACAUUGGGACUGAGACACGGCCCAAACUCCUACGGGAGGCAGCAGUGGGGAAUAUUGGACAAUGGGGGCAACCCUGAUCCAGCCAUGCCGCGUGAGUGAUGAAGGCCUUAGGGUUGUAAAGCUCUUUCACCGGGGAAGAUAAUGACGGUACCCGGAGAAGAAGCCCCGGCUAGCUUCGUGCCAGCCGCCGCAGUAA